rnacentral:rRNA from 1 species
UACGUAGGGUGCAGGCGUUAAUCGGAAUUACUGGGCGUAAAGGGCGCGUAGGCGGUGUGUCAAGUCAGGCGUGAAAGCCCCGGGCUCAACCUGGGAACAGCGCUUGAGACUGGCACGCUCGAGUUCGGGAGAGGAUGGUGGAAUUCCCAGUGUAGAGGUGAAAUUCGUAGAUAUCUGGAGGAACACCGGUGGCGAAGGCGGCAUCCUGGACCGGCAUUGACGCUGAGGCGCGAAAGCCAGGGGAGCAAACGGG